rnacentral:rRNA from 1 species
CAGCAGCCACGGGAAUACGGAGGGUGCAAGCGUUAAUCGGAAUUACUGGGCGUAAAGCGCACGCAGGCGGUCUGACAAGUCAGAUGUGAAAUCCCCGGGCUUAACCUGGGAACUGCAUUCGAAACUGUCAGGCUGGAGUCUUGUAGAGGGGGGUAGAAUUCCAGGUGUAGCGGUGAAAUGCGUAGAGAUCUGGAGGAAUACCGGUGGCGAAGGCGGCCCCCUGGACAAAGACUGACGCUCAGGUGCGAAAGCGUGGGGAGCAAACAGGAUUAGAUACCCCGGUAGUCCCUGUCUCUUAUAC